rnacentral:rRNA from 1 species
AUUCUGGUGUCCUAGGCGUAGAGGAACCACACCAAUCCAUCCCGAAUUUGGUGGUUAAACUCUACUGCGGUGACGAUACUGUAGGGGAGGUCCUGCGGUAAAAUAGCUCGAUGCCAGAAUGAUAAAAAGCUUAACACCUC